rnacentral:rRNA from 1 species
CCUACGGGUGGCUGCAGUGGGGAAUAUUGGACAAUGGGCGAAAGCCUGAUCCAGCCAUGCCGCGUGUGUGAAGAAGGCCUUCGGGUUGUAAAGCACUUUCAGUGGGGAAGAAAGCCUUGGGGCUAAUACCCUCGAGGAAGGACAUCACCCACAGAAGAAGCACCGGCUAACUCCGUGCCAGCAGCCGCGGUAAUACGGAGGGUGCGAGCGUUAAUCGGAAUUACUGGGCGUAAAGCGCGCGUAGGCGGUCUGAUAAGCCGGUUGUGAAAGCCCCGGGCUCAACCUGGGAACGGCAUCCGGAACUGUCAGGCUAGAGUGCAGGAGAGGAAGGUAGAAUUCCCGGUGUAGCGGUGAAAUGCGUAGAGAUCGGGAGGAAUAUCAGUGGCGAAGGCGGCCUUCUGGACUGACACUGACGCUGAGGUGCGAAAGCGUGGGUAGCAAACAGGAUUAGAUACCCCAGUAGUC